CAGCCGCCACGGUAAUACGAGGGGGGCAAGCGUUGUUCGGAAUUAUUUGGCGUAAAGGGCGCGUAGGCGGUUUGGCAAGUUUGGUGUGAAAUCUUCGGGCUCAACUCGAAGUCUGCAUCGAAAACUGCCGGGCUUGAGUAUGGGAGAGGUGAGUGGAAUUUCCGGUGUAGCGGUGAAAUGCGUAGAUAUCGGAAGGAACACCUGUGGCGAAAGCGGCUCACUGGACAAUUACUGACGCUGAUGCACGAAAGCUAGGGGAGCAAACAGGAUUAGAUACCCCUGUAUCCCUGUCUCUUAUACA
rnacentral:rRNA from 1 species